rnacentral:tRNA from 1 species
GGCUCAGAUGGUAAAGCAUCUGCCUGCAAUGCAGGAGACCCAGGUUCAAUUCUUGG